GACGAACGCUGGCGGCGUGCCUAAUACAUGCAAGUAGAACGCUGAAGGAGGAGCUUGCUUCUCCGGAUGAGUUGCGAACGGGUGAGUAACGCGUAGGUAACCUGCCUGGUAGCGGGGGAUAACUAUUGGAAACGAUAGCUAAUACCGCAUAAGAGUAGAUGUUGCAUGACAUUUGCUUAAAAGGUGCAAUUGCAUCACUACCAGAUGGACCUGCGUUGUAUUAGCUAGUUGGUGAGGUAACGGCUCACCAAGGCGACGAUACAUAGCCGACCUGAGAGGGUGAUCGGCCACACUGGGACUGAGACACGGCCCAGACUCCUACGGGAGGCAGCAGUAGGGAAUCUUCGGCAAUGGACGGAAGUCUGACCGAGCAACGCCGCGUGAGUGAAGAAGGUUUUCGGAUCGUAAAGCUCUGUUGUAAGAGAAGAACGAGUGUGAGAGUGGAAAGUUCACGCUGUGACGGUAUCUUACCAGAAAGGGACGGCUAACUACGUG
rnacentral:rRNA from 1 species